GAUGAACGCUGGCGGCGUGCUUAACACAUGCAAGUCGAACGGUGAAGCAGGAGCUUGCUCUUGUGGAUCAGUGGCGAACGGGUGAGUAACACGUGAGCAACCUGCCCCUGACUCUGGGAUAAGCGCUGGAAACGGCGUCUAAUACUGGAUAUGUGAUGUGACCGCAUGGUCUGCAUCUGGAAAGAAUUUCGGUUGGGGAUGGGCUCGCGGCCUAUCAGCUUGUUGGUGAGGUAAUGGCUCACCAAGGCGUCGACGGUUAGCCGGCCUGAGAGGGUAACCGGCCACACUGGGACUGAGACACGGCCCAGACUCCUACGGGAGGCAGCAGUGGGGAAUAUUGCACAAUGGGCGGAAGCCUGAUGCAGCAACGCCGCGUGAGGGAUGACGGCCUUCGGGUUGUAAACCUCUUUUAGCAGGGAAGAAGCGAAAGUGACGGUACCUGCAGAAAAAGCACCGGCUAACUACGUGCCAGCAGCCGCAGUAA
rnacentral:rRNA from 1 species